rnacentral:rRNA from 1 species
CCUACGGGAGGCUGCAGUGGGGAAUAUUGCGCAAUGGGCGAAAGCCUGACGCAGCGACGCCGCGUGAGGGAUGAAGGUCUUCGGAUCGUAAACCUCUGUCAGCAGGGAAGAACGGUCACUGUGCUAAUCAGCAGUGAAUUGACGGUACCUGCAAAGGAAGCACCGGCUAACUCCGUGCCAGCAGCCGCGGUAAUACGUAGGGGGCAAGCGUUAUCCGGAUUCACUGGGUGUAAAGGGAGCGUAGACGGCGGCGCAAGUCUGGAGUGAAAGCCCGGGGCCCAACCCCGGGACUGCUCUGGAAACUGCGGCGCUGGAGUACGGGAGGGGCAGGCGGAAUUCCUGGUGUAGCGGUGAAAUGCGUAGAUAUCAGGAGGAACACCGGCGGCGAAGGCGGCCUGCUGGACCGUGACUGACGUUGAGGCUCGAGAGCGUGGGGAGCAAACAAGAUUAGAUACCCCUGUAGUC